UCAGACGAUGCGUCAUGCAUAUCAAUAAGCGGAGGAAAAGAAACUAACAAGGAUUCCCCUAGUAACGGCGAGUGAAGCGGGAAGAGCUCAAAUUUGAAAUCUUAAAGGGUUUCCCUUUACGAAUUGUAGUUUAAAGAAGUGUUUUCUGUUGAGGUUUUGGUAAAAGUUCUUUGGAAUAGGACAUCAUAGAGGGUGAGAAUCCCGUAUUUGACCUUUACUUUCAACUUUGUGAUACACUUUCAAAGAGUCGGAUUGCUUGGGAAUGCAGUCCGAAAAUGGGUGGUAAAUUUCAUCUAAAGCUAAGUAUUGGCGAGAGACCGAUAGCGAACAAGUACCGUGAGGGAAAGAUGAAAAGGACUUUGAAAAGAGAGUUAAACAGUACGUGAAAUUGUCAAAAGGGAAGCGUUUGACACCAGUGUUGUUUUUCUGAAAAUCAAUUAAAGAACUGUUUAUGCUAAGCUGUUUAGACUUUAUCAGCUAUCUAUUUAGUUUUAGGCUUUUCUUUAAUGCACUUUUCAGUUAACAAGUCAACAUCAAUUUCUUUUGCUGUAAAAAAGCUUGAGGAAGGUGGCUUGAGAUUCGUCUUAAGUGUUUAUAGCCUCUUGCCUAUGCAGUCGGAGAGAUUGAGGUCUGCAGCGUAGAUCCUUCGGGGCUAAAUGCAUUUGUGCUAAGUUAUAGCAUUUUAUAGACAACUUGUUGACUAUGAUUGUCUUGUAGCUUACUCGCUUAUGUUAUUUUACCUACGCUUAGGAUGUUGACACACGCGCGUGCUCG
rnacentral:rRNA from 1 species